AAACUGCGAUAAGUAGUGUGAAUUGCAUUUAGUGAAUCAUCGAAUCUUUGAACGCACCUUGCACUCACUGGUAUUCCGGUGAGUACGCCUGUUUCAGUAUCAUUGAAAACACACAAUCAAAACAUUUUCUUUGGUUUGAUUGGCUUUGGGUCUAUCAAAAAGUUUGGCUUGUUUCUUACAAGCCAAGCGGCCCGAAAUAUAUUGUCUGGCUAAUUGCAUCGUUGAUGAUCGCUAUUAGACUUUGGCUUUUUUAAAUGAACUGGAGGUUGAUUAACCAGUUUUAGCUUUAGUCAAAUGGUCAUUGUAAAAAAAAUCUCGAUCUUGGCUAGGUGUUUAUAGCCGAAAAUUUUUUUUUGGCUAUAACCGAAACCAAUAUAAUCACAUUUAGUUAUCGAUCUGAAAUCAGGUGGGACUACCCGCUGAACUUAAGC
rnacentral:misc_RNA from 1 species